rnacentral:rRNA from 1 species
UACAGAGGUCUCAAGCGUUGUUCGGAUUCAUUGGGCGUAAAGGGUGCGUAGGCGGCGCGGUAAGUCGGGUGUGAAAUCUCGGAGCUUAACUCCGAAACUGCAUUCGAUACUGCCGUGCUUGAGGACUGGAGAGGAGACUGGAAUUUACGGUGUAGCGGUGAAAUGCGUAGAUAUCCGGCGGAACACCGGUGGUGAAGGCGAUUCCCUGGACCGAGGCCGACGCUGAGGCGCGAGAGCGUGGGGAGCGAACCGG